AUGGUCAAGUCUGCCAUUGUUGGGGAAGGAGUAAGCUGGAUAUUUUCUAGUAUUGCAGCUACCAGGCAAACCAAGGACAAACCAGAUUUAGAAGCAACAAGAAGUGGUGGCCUAGAGAGGCUAGAGAUGGCGCGCAUCAAAAUGGAGGCCGCCCUCCAGACGUCCAACAAGUGGCAAAUCACUGACACCUCGCUACUCCAUUGGCGAAAGAAGCUGAAGUGCGCUGCCCAGGACUGCGACGAUGCAGCACACAGAUGCAGGCAACUUUCUCGUGAAGAGGACGAGGCGGAGCAGGUGGUAAGGAAAUCCUCAUUUCCUAGACGGGUUGCUCAUGCCACCAAGGCAUUCAUCUCCUCUCGUGUUGGCUGCAACAAUGAUCAUUCCUCUGCGGGUAGUGCCACCGCGGCGGCCAUCAGAAGAUUUGAGUGGUACGCGGAAGGUGCCGGAGAAUUCAUCAGGUACAUGCAACUCGGCGGAACACCGCAUCAGCACUUAUUCUUCGACCCUCUCAUUGGGCAUAUCUUCGCCGGCAAAAGACUGAUGUAUGAGUUGUUGCAUCCGGGACGACAAUAUCACUUCUUCGGCAUACGACCGAUGAGUUCCGAGGAGCGAGGGCUGGAGGCCAUGCUAUCCUUCGUGUAUGAAGAUUACAAGAUGCCAGAGAAGAGUUUUUGCUUGGGAUUGAUGAUGCGCCUUUCGAAGAGUACAAACAUAAUUGGAACUACCGUCAGGUGCUUGCAACUGGUGAACCCUCACUUCAAGUCCACGGCCGAUGCCAUCAUCAAAGAGAUCACCCAGCUGCCGACGCAAGAUUUCUCCUUGGUGCCGGCAGAAGUUAAGAAUACCCACACAGAGUACUGGAACAACAUCCAACGAACUUUGACUGGAUUUUUUCGCCCAGAUCCAUUAUGUUGUCAAGGAUACAAUCAUGAGAACGUGCCUUCUUGUUCUGGUGGCGUCCAUGCCAAUGGCGACAACGGAAACAAAUAUAUGCUUUCAAGCAAACUUCCAGAACCGGUAUGCCAAAUGUUUUUGCAACAUCACAUCUCACUUUCCGAGUAUAAUAACCUGCUGCCGCUGGGACCAACCACAAUAUCUGGCGAUGAGGACACUCCUUCUCCACAUAAUUUCCCACCUUUGAAGUUAGGAAUCUUAUUCAUGCCUCAUGACUCCCUAGGGGAAGGCUCCAAGUCUGCUGGCAAGGGCUCUGUGAUAGAGGUGGUAGAUGGAGAGAAGCAAGGCCUUACACAUGUGAAUGCUCACCCAGAACAACUUGCUGAGAUCUUGCUUCCCAAGGCGAUAACUCAUCUUUAUCAUAACACUCAGGCUACGACAUACCACAUAUGUUGGACGUCUAACCAUGGCAGUGCACGCCUGUUGGUGGAGAAGACAGGUAUACUCCAAGGAUGCGGUGCCAUCAGAUCGACACGACGAGGUAAAAAAAUUAAGAGUAUGAGUACUAGGGUGCAUUAUCAGGUGCAGCAGAUUGAACAAAUAAGGGAAGUGCACUGGAAAAAGCUAGUCGGAGAUUUCCUCAAAUUAUGGGCGGUGCGUUCCUCGGAGAGGCUGCAGAGCUUGUUUUCAGCAUGGACCGACCAGUACUGA
rnacentral:rRNA from 1 species